GACGAACGCUGGCGGCGUGCUUAACACAUGCAAGUCGAACGGAAAGGCCCUGCUUUUGUGGGGUGCUCGAGUGGCGAACGGGUGAGUAACACGCGAGUAACCUGCCCUUGACUUUGGGAUAACUUCAGGAAACUGGGGCUAAUACCGGAUAGGAGCUCCUGCUGCAUGGUGGGGGUUGGAAAGUUUCGGCGGUGGGGGAUGGACUCGCGGCUUAUCAGCUUGUUGGUGGGGUAGUGGCUUACCAAGGCUUUGACGGGUAGCCGGCCUGAGAGGGUGACCGGCCACCUUGGGACUGAGAUACGGCCCAGACUCCUACGGGAGGCAGCAGUGGGGAAUAUUGCACAAUGGGCGGACGCCUGAUGCAGCAACGCCGCGUGCGGGAUGCCGGCCUUCGGGUUGUAAACCGCUUUCGCCUGUGCCGAAGCGUGAGUGACGGUAAUGGGUAAAGAAGCACCGGCUAACUACGUG
rnacentral:rRNA from 1 species